GUGAGUGGAGGACGGCAAGGUCUGGACCCUGGGGGAAGAGAGCCUCUAGCUUCUCCCACCUCUCUCAGAUCAAACACCCUCCCCCUAAGAUUCUCUCUGAUGGGAUGCUGAAAUUACUUACAGUCUGGUUGCAAAGGAGCUAGCCCCAGAACUUGAGUUUCUAGAAGGAAGAAGUCUUUCUUUGGCUACUAAAGCUUAAUGAGGACCAGAUGGAGAAAGACUUUCAGAAGACUAUUGAAGUGGAUAUUGCCUGACAGUUGAGACAUGUCAGGAAACAUGCGGUGUUGGCUUCUGAAAAAGGAUCACCAGCAUUUGGCAUUUGUGAAAAUAAGAAGAGUCCUUUAAACAAUAUAUCAUUGAUAGACUGUCAGAAUCUCAAAAUUCAGUCCCAGGACAGAUACCUGUUUUGCAUCCUAGAGUAGGAAUUUACUAAUUGUAAACUCAAAAAGUAUUGCCCUACUGAGUGUGGUGCAGUUUGUACAAGCACACUUUGUUUUGAAGUGGAUUAUCUAAUUCCCCUGCCUUUGCAUCGGCUCCUUUGAGAGUCCUCACCUCAAAUUUCUGUCUCUAUAUCUGGAAUGUCUCAAAGACCAAAUCAGAUUGUUCCAACCAUUACCUGUCUCUUUCCAUUAUCCAGCUGCUCUUCUGUAGUCAGACCCCAAAGUCCCUGGUGACAUGAAUCUUUGUUUCCUAGAAUAGCAAAGAAUGGGAAGCAGACAUAUCAGAAAGAGAGCCACACUGAACAUUCUCAGGUAUAGAGUCACAAGGUUUUUCUUUAGCGUUGUACACACAGAAUAGAUGCAAAUUUGUAGUUUGGGAAUAUUAAUUCAUAAUUAGUGUCCCUAGCAUUCAGGAAAUAGGGCUUUUACAUCUAAAACAGUCCAGUUUCUGAUAAAGGACAGGUGAUAUAGUAAUAGUAUAGUAUAGUAAAGAUGGAGAUCAUGUCUACAUGGAACACUUUAUGUGUCAUUGAAAAAUCAUAGAGAGAAUUGAGUUAAAUCUGUUAAAAGUGAUUGCAUAUUUUUGAAAUAUUUGAAGAGGAACUUAAAUAAAGAUGAUAAGAAAUUUGGUAAGGCAAUUAUCACAUUUAAUAUAAGAAUGGCCUAAAUAUUCAUCAUAUUAAGCAUAAGCCUUCAAUAAUCUUGCAUUUCCAAUUUACUAUAUAAGCUUUUCUUUGAUACAGUUCAUGUUUUUAUUUAUUAUUGCAACGUCUAUUUGUCAACAGAAAGGCACAACUUAUCCACAUCAAAUGAAUGUCAAAAUGGCACUUUGGUUUAUGACUGAAGCAGUCCCUUGUAAAGCCAUGGCAGGUUGUGGCAUUUCUACUCUAUUGUGGCAGAUACUGCUGUGUACUUGGCCAACACAUAAUCUCCCACAUCUUUGUUCCAUCUGAAACUGUAGCGUCUGGUUUUACAUGGGGUCCCCACCUUCUCAUCAGCAGCAACCUUAGGAAGUGACUGGUGCUUAUUCUAAGCAACGUUGAAAAUAGAUCCCUGUAGCAGUGACUAGUGUAGUAAGAGACAGUUCAAGCAAUGCUUGCUCAUCAUUCAAGGAAGGCAGGGCUGAAUUUAGAGCUGAGGACAGGGGUUGCAGUGGUUUUCUUUUGUGAUCAAAAGAAAAAUUAUCUUUAGGUGCUAAUUUGUGAGAUUUGAAAAGUACAGUUGUUAUUGAGCAAAGAGAAGGGACAGACUAAAGAAUGACCUCUUUACCUGUUGAACAAAAGAAUAAAUAGUGUCUGUUCCUCCCUGUUCCUGACCAAUCACUCCAUUUUCUUGUUAUGGGAGAUAACAAAUGGAUGUUUAAGCCACACUGGCUUGGCUUGAGUAUUAGCUACUUGUAGCCUAAAGCACUGGAAUUGACAUGUUUCUGCAAAGAUGAUUUUCUUUUGCUAGUAUUCUAUUCCGCAUGCUGUAAUUAUCCAUGUAUGUGGAAAGUAAGGAACUACCUUAAAAUGUAUGCUAACCUACCUCUGAAUUUCCAAGUGAGUACAUGUUGUAGAGGUGACAGUUACUCCAUACUGCCAUAACCUCACAUCUUCUCUCUAUAACCUCUAUCAAGACAUCUUUACAUCUCUUCUCCUGGAGAUGUGUAAUGCUACAUUUCCUGUGUUUAGUACUUUAAUAAAUAGAACUUGUGUCAAUGUAUU
rnacentral:lncRNA from 1 species